rnacentral:rRNA from 1 species
CCGGAUUUACUGGGUGUAAAGGGAGCGCAGACGGUUGCGCAAGUCUGAAGUGAAAUCCCGAGGCUUAACCACGGGACUGCUUUGGAAACUGUGCGACUUGAGUAUCGGAGGGGCAGGCGGAAUUCCUAGUGUAGCGGUGAAAUGCGUAGAUAUUAGGAAGAACACCGGUGGCGAAGGCGGCCUGCUGGACGAAAACUGACGUUGAGGCUCGAAGGCGUGGGGAGCAAACAGGAUUAGAUACCCUGGUAGUCCACGCGGUAAACGAUGAAUACUAGGUGUUGGUGCCCAAAGGGCAUCGGUGCCGUCGCAAACGCAAUAAGUAUUCCACCUGGGGAGUACGUUCGCAAGAAUGAAACUCAAAGGAAUAGACGGGGACCCGCACAAGCGGUGGAGCAUGUGGUUUAAUUCGAAGAUACGCGAAGAACCUUACCCGGACUUGAUAUCUAACAAAUCAUCUAGAGAUAGAAGAGUGUCUGCUUGCAGAAAUGUUAAGACAGGUGCUGCACGGCUGUCGUCAGCUCGUGUCGUG